GGAUCUGAUGAGGUUUUCCUAAAGCCUUUUCCAUAUCUGUUGCUUUACUGAAGUCUAAAACUUUUGGUUGUGGAGUUCAGGAAUUUUCCUGGAGUGUCAGCCAUUUACCUCCCCUCUUACUGACUGUGGAUACCUAGGGCAGAAGGACGUGGCCAAUUUAUAACAUGAUCCAUGGUAUAUAAAAACAUUUUCUAAGAAGGAGCUUUCUUCCACAGCCAUUUCAGAAGCACUAAUAUUUUAUCUAGAGGAUGAAGAAAUACUAAGAGCAAAGCCACUGUUGCAACCUGUGGCAGGAAUUUUAAUUUUAAAACACUCACUUCCCUGGGAAUGGGACACUCCUGUGGGUCAUCUCAGAGAAUUUAGGGGGUGAGUAGAACCAAUAAGCUGACCUGAGUAGGGCUAGAUUAUGGACUAGUUGAGGAACAUAAUCUCAUUUACCAUAAAUUGACAAUCUGGAGCAUGAAUAUGGUGAAUUUAGCCAAAGGUAAUUCCUCAAGGCAAAGAAGAGUACAGAAGAUUGAAG
rnacentral:lncRNA from 1 species